UCCGUGCAAUUGGUUUUUAAACAACUGCAUAUUCAUACAUCUCAGAUAACUCUGAACAUUGCUCCUGGAACUAGCAACUCUUGGAAUAUUACAUAUAAUAACCAGAUUUUAAGAUGCAGAAAUCAGAGACGAUAAAGUUUACGAUUUUGAUCUUGACAUUUCUUCAUCUAAUUUCGUCGAAGACAGUAUUCACUGCAGGCUUCAAAUGUGUGACAGUAGGGAGAUUUCCAAAUUCAGGAAACCUCCAUAAAUAUUAUCAAUGUGUAUACCGCAAUGGCAAAUUGGAACUUGGCGACAUGACGUGCCCGAAUAACCUGUGCUUUGACCCCAAUUCCCGAUUUUGUAUAAACGUUCCUUGUUAAAAAACACCUUAAGUUGCACCAACAACUGGGUCUACAACUACAGCUACUCCGACGCCUAACUCGUGCGCAGGACCUGAAUUCCUUCUGCAACUCCGUCACAUUAUACAAUUACUUCGCAGAUGUUAAUAUACCUAUCCUACCAGACAACAAAAAUUAUCCCUUUUUUAAAGUAGAUUCACUUCAUCAUCCACUUUUAUAUAUUCAUUAUCUAAUGUUGAUUUGUCAUACCAGAAUACACCUCUGGCUCUACCCACGUAUGAUUCAAAUUACAAACUGAGAAUUUAUUUUAUUAUCCAAUUUAUAUUUCUUCCCAGUUUGCUACAAUAUAAAUAAUACGUCUCUGUCAAUUUGUGUAAUGGAAACUUUAAAAUUAUAAUGUACAGAUAUUUAUAAGUUUGUAACGUAAUAAAUAUAAAACGUUAUAAAAAUGGAGCUUGCUUAGAAAAUUACAGUUUAUAUUAUAAUAAACUCGCUGGUGUCAGAUUAAUUUUUUGUUGUUGUAUUUUUAAGUUAAGUUACUCCUUCUGUAACAAUUUAAUUCUUCAAUGGGCCUGUCAUUAUGAAACAAGCAGAUGUAAUAAGAAAUAGAAAAAUGUUUUGUUCAUCAAUAAAGAGGAACACUGUUAUCAAA